UACGUAGGGGCGAGCGUUAUCCGGAAUUAUUGGUCGUAAAGGGUUCGCAGGCGGCCUUGUAAGUCAGAUGUGAAAGACAGCGGCUUAACCGUUGUAAGCAUUUGAAACUGCAGGGCUUGAGUACAGGAGAGGAAAGCGGAAUUCCUAGUGUAGCGGUGAAAUGCGUAGAUAUUAGGAGGAACACCAGUGGCGAAGGCGGCUUUCUGGACUGAUACUGACGCUGAGGAACGAAAGCGUGGGGAGCAAACAGGAUUAGAUACCCUGGUAGUCCCU
rnacentral:rRNA from 1 species